rnacentral:rRNA from 1 species
AUACGGAGGUGGCAAACGUUGCUCGGAAUCACUGGGCUUAAAGGGCGUGUAGGCGGCGAAUUAAGUCGGAUGUGAAAUCUCCCGGCCCAACCGGGAAACUGCAUCCGAAACUGGUUUGCUAGAGUGCGGGAGGGGCAAGUGGAACUCCAGGUGUAGCGGUGAAAUGCGUAGAUAUCUGGAGGAACGCCGGUGGCGAAAGCGACUUGCUGGACCGCAACUGACGCUGAGGCGCGAAAGCUAGGGUAGCGAACGGGAUUAGAAACCCCGGUAGUCC